rnacentral:rRNA from 1 species
ACAGAUGGACCCGCGGCGCAUUAGCUAGUUGGUGGGGUAAUGGCUCACCAAGGCGACGAUGCGUAGCCGACCUGAGAGGGUGAUCGGCCACACUGGGACUGAGACACGGCCCAGACUCCUACGGGAGGCAGCAGUAAGGGAAUCUUCCGCAAUGGACGAAAGGUCUGACGGAGCAACGCCGGCGUGAGUGAUGAAAGGUUUUCGGAUCGUAAAGCUCUGUUGUUAGGGAAAGAACAAGUGCCGAGAGUAACUGCUCGCAGCCUUGACGGUACCUAACCAGAAAGGCCACGGCUAACUACGUGCCCAGCAGCCGCGGUAAUACGUAGGUGCCAAGCGUUGUCCGGAAUUAUUGGGCGUAAAGGGCUCGCAGGCGGUUUCUUAAGUCUGAUGUGAAAGCCCCCGGCUCAACCGGGGAGGGUCAUUGGAAACUGGGAAACUUGAGUGCAGAAGAGGAGAGUGGAAUUUCCACGUGUAGCGGUGAAAUGCGUAGAGAUGUGGAGGAACACCAGUGGCGAAGGCGACUCUCUGGUCUGUAACUGACGCUGAGGAGCGAAAGCGUGGGGAGCGAACAGGAUUAGAUACCCUGGUAGUCCACGCCGUAAACGAUGAGUGCUAAGUGUUAGGGGGUUUCCGCCCCUUAGUGCUGCAGCUAACGCAUUAAGCACUCCGCCUGGGGAGUACGGUCGCAAGACUGAAACUCAAAGGAAUUGACGGGGGCCCGCACAAGCGGUGGAGCAUGUGGUUUAAUUCGAAGCAACGCGAAGAACCUUACCAGGUCUUGACAUCCUCUGACAACCCUAGAGAUAGGGCUUUCCCUUCGGGGACAGAGUGACAGGUGGUGCAUGGUUGUCGUCAGCCUCGUGUCGUGAGAAUGUUGGGUUAAGUCCCGCAACGAGCGCAACCCUUGAUCUUAGUUGCCAGCAUUUAGUUGGGCACUCUAAGGUGACUGCCGGUGACAAACCGGAGGAAGGUGGGGAUGACGUCAAAUCAUCAUGCCCCUUAUGACCUGGGCUACACACGUGCUACAAUGGACAGAACAAAGGGCUGCGAGACCGCAAGGUUUAGCCAAUCCCAUAAAUCUGUUCUCAGUUCGGAUCGCAGUCUGCAACUCGACUGCGUGAAGCUGGAAUCGCUAGUAAUCGCGGAUCAGCAUGCCGCGGUGAAUACGUUCCCGGGCCUUGUACACACCGCCCGUCACAC